GACGAACGCUGGCGGCGUGCCUAAUACAUGCAAGUCGAACGCAGUGGGGACGGGUGGGUAACACGUGGGUAACCUCCCAUCAGAGGGGAUAACACUUGGGAACAGGUGCUAAACCGAUACUGAUGGAUGGACCCGCGGUGCAUUAGCUAGUUGGUGAGGUAACGGCUCACCAAGGCCACGAUGCAUAGGCAACCUUAGAGGGUGAUCGUCCAUACGGGGACGUGGAGACUGUCCAGAAUCCUACGGGAGGCAGCAGUAGGUAAUUGUCGGUAAUUGACGAAAGUCUUACCCGGCCACGCCGCGUUAGUUAAGAAGGUUUUCGGAUCGUAAAACUCUGUUGUUAUAUAAGCGGUAUCUAACCAGAAAGCCACGGCUAAGUACGUGCCAGCAGCCGCGGUAAUAC
rnacentral:rRNA from 1 species